ACGAACGCUGGCGGCGUUCCUAAUACAUGCAAGUCGCACGCUUCUUUCCUCCCGAGUGCUUGCACUCAAUUGGAAAGAGGAGUGGCGGACGGGUGAGUAACACGUGGGUAACCUACCCAUCAGAGGGGGAUAACACUUGGAAACAGGUGCUAAUACCGCAUAACAGUUUAUGCCGCAUGGCAUAAGAGUGAAAGGCGCUUUCGGGUGUCGCUGAUGGAUGGACCCGCGGUGCAUUAGCUAGUUGGUGAGGUAACGGCUCACCAAGGCCACGAUGCAUAGCCGACCUGAGAGGGUGAUCGGCCACACUGGGACUGAGACACGGCCCAGACUCCUACGGGAGGCAGCAGUAGGGAAUCUUCGGCAAUGGACGAAAGUCUGACCGAGCAACGCCGCGUGAGUGAAGAAGGUUUUCGGAUCGUAAAACUCUGUUGUUAGAGAAGAACAAGGACGUUAGUAACUGAACGUCCCCUGACGGUAUCUAACCAGAAAGCCACGGCUAACUACGUG
rnacentral:rRNA from 1 species